UGGGGAAUAUUGCACAAUGGGGGAAACCCUGAUGCAGCGACGCCGCGUGAACGAUGAAGUAUUUCGGUAUGUAAAGUUCUAUCAGCAGGGAAGAUAAUGACGGUACCUGACUAAGAAGCACCGGCUAAAUACGUGCCAGCAGCCGCGGUAAUACGUAUGGUGCAAGCGUUAUCCGGAUUUACUGGGUGUAAAGGGUGCGUAGGUGGCAUGGCAAGUCUGAAGUGAAAUGCGGGGGCUCAACCCCUGAACUGCUUUGGAAACUGUCAGGCUAGAGUGCAGGAGAGGAAAGCGGAAUUCCUAGUGUAGCGGUGAAAUGCGUAGAUAUUAGGAGGAACACCAGUGGCGAAGGCGGCUUUCUGGACUGUAACUGACACUGAGGCACGAAAGCGUGGGGAGCAAACAGG
rnacentral:rRNA from 1 species